AGAAAAUCACGUUUACUUCUCUUUGCAUGCUGGAGCUAAUGCUGGGAGCUGAAUUUUUGGGAGGGUGUUGACUUGAAUGGUAUCAUCCUUUGGGAGAAGAAAUACCCAUCUCAUGGCGUAGGGCUGUGACUGCUGUAUCUGUUUGGGAGCAUCAGGAAAUACAGAGAAUAGGAACAUGCAAAGAGCAGCAGCAACGUGAAUGCCCGCCAUGAGAACCUCGCUGAAGCCGUGGCUGCUGUUUUGUAGGCUUCGUGAAGAUGCUGGAAUUACAAAUGGAAAUGCCAAGGUCAGAAUUUCUGCCAUCGAACUAUUUGAUGACAUUGCUCCGGCAGGUCAGCAUUACGGGAUGCAGAAGGGCAAUCUUCAUGCUCUUAGGGCAGUAACUUCCAUGGGCUUAGCUCAACGUUAAGGAUUCGCCAACUCAGGAAAGCCAGGCUGCUCUUGGUGGACUCAGUGUGCCAUCUCAGGGCAGUUACCUCCUGCCAGAAAUAGACUUGCCAAUGGUUUCCAUUAGGUCCUCUGGACAGAAGACAGCAAGAGGUGGUGUGGUGUCAUGUGAAAAUGCUCCCCUCCUGUCUGGCCCCAUUAUCUGUUCAACAUUUGGAUGAGAAGAAAUGGCAGUUUUCUUAAUAGAUUGGCUUCAAACCCAUGAACCCAUGAGACAAACCAGGAGGGGAAAAGGGCUCCUGUAGCACAAGUUCCUUAGUCUUGGCCUAUCUGCUAUAGCCCAUUGCUGUCCUGGAGCCAACCUUUGUGCAGACCUUAGAUUUCUGGAGCUAAGCAGUGAAUGAGUCCAACCUCCCCUGCCUGAGGCCUGUCUAUAUUUAACUUGUUCUGGAGGUGGCCGAACUUUCUCUAACCCAGCUCCUGCAAAAGCUCAGAUCCCUUCGACAGCCCCAGCUGCCCUCCUUUCUCUGCAGCAGAGCCAUUAUCUUGGUGUUAACCCAGGGAGGGAUAACAACAUUUUCCAGCUCCCAAAACUAAAAUUUCAGCACAAAACCUUUUUGUCUGUUAAACUACAUAGAAACACAGCAGCUGAGGACCAUAUUUCUGCAGUUUUUGACACGAGAUUAAUAAAUCCAGAUCCUCCCUACUUCUUGACCAAGUCUGGAUUCAUCGGUUAUGGACCACUGUGUGGGAACUGCUGAGUCCCGGCCUGAAACACUGAUUGAGCACCUGGAAGAAAGACCCAGUCAGCCCUGGCAGCACAGCUGAAGGCAAUUCACCUCUUAGGCCUCAUUUAAGGGCUGACUGCCACUGAGGAAGGAUCUCUUUCGGGAGAUCCCUUCUUGGUGGAAGUCUUUCCCUAUGAACCCGGAAUCUUCUGAUACAGGCUGAAUGACUCCUUAUUCCUGUAGAAGCAGGAGCGCUCAGGUCUGCCAAGUCCCACAGGCUCCAGUAGGGAGCAAAUUGCUGGAAGAGGAGCUUGACAGCCUGAAACAGUUCAACGCCAAUUUGGCCAGUGAUGUCAGCUUAGUAGAACUGGGGCCAGCUGGCUUCUUUAGGGGUGAUCUCCUGGAAGCUCCAACCCUUUUACUGCCUGAGCCUCCUGCUUAGGACCUUAAAAAAGUGCAAAGGACUGUGAAGAGAAGCAAGGAGUUAUUGCUUAUAGAUCACGCUUCCCUCUUUACCUGUACUGGGUGAGGAAAAAGGACUCCAAGGAGAACGUGCCAAGAAACAUGGAGAUGGGGCACUGAGGGACAUGGUCGGUGGGCGUGGUGAGGGUGGGUUGGGGUUGGACUUGAGGAUCUUUAAGGUCUUUUCUGACUUUUAUGAUUCUAAGGUGGGCCGUUUGCUGGAGCUUGGCCAUCUGUGGGCUCCCUGGGGCUCUGCUGCUGUUUCCAAAUGAAAAUGUACUGGGGAAAUAAUAUUGCAAAAUCAGUGUAUUGCUCAUAGUGGUUAGGACCAGGCCUCUGAGAAUUAAGGUCAGCAUCAGGUAAACCUCUGGGAGUCUGGCAGCACCAUGUUAACCAGAGCAAUGCUUUGAGCCAGAACAAAAUGUGGGCAGUCCACAUCCGUGAUGAAGCUCUUGCGGAAGAUUUUCACCUCUAUUAUCUGACUGUCUUGCCGCAAUUCUAACCUCCCUCACAGCUUAAUGAAGCAGGGAUGGGUUUAUUUUUAUCUUCUGAAAUCCAUGUAAAAGAGGCAAAGUCAUCUGAGCACCUCAUUAGCCCUCCCACCCUUUCCCCAUCCUUAACCGCUUCUCAUUCAAGCUGAAGUGUGAAGUGGCUGUCUUGCUUCUCUGCUUACUUCUGCUGAGCCCUAGGGACUUGAGCAUCAUUGGGAAAUGUAUGGCAUUCGCUUUUAGGGCUUUGGGUUCCAGCCCAAACUGAAGAGACCGGAGAGAUGGAUGUGUACAUGGGUGUCAGCUGCCCUUCUAUGCCACCUCAUUGCCUCCCUAUUUCAAUGCCUUCUGACCUCCUGCCUGGCCACCAGGCUGUUUUCCCACUGCCAUUAUGGGGAGCAGAGUGAGGGAAAGAGUGGCUGCCAGGUAAGACGUUUCCAGAAAGUGUGACACUGAAUGAGGGCAUCAAUGUGCUGCCUGGCAUGUACUGGGGAAGCCCACCUGUCUGUGACCUUUGUGCAGGAGCUAUUUCUACAACACUUAUCAGUCAGGGUUAAUAAGAAAGCCAAGCUGGAUCUUAUAACCACAAUAAGUCUUUACUCUAAGACAACAGCUAAAUUAAAAAAAAAAAAAAGACACUAGAGAAGGAAGCUUGGACAGGAAGGAGAGGGGUUAGCACGUCUUUAUAUGGGUCUGGUUACUAACACACUCAUGCACACACUGGUUUUGAAUGAAGGAGAAAGAUGGUAUUUCAGCCUGGCCUCCAUGACUGAAAUCUGUUUGAUGGUCACAGUUCAGCAGAGGGAGGGUUCUCUUCUAGUGGCUGUCAGCUGCAGUCACUGCUGACAGCACAGCAGAGCAAAAGUAGCAAGGUAAUAACGAAUGGAAAAUUACCAGGCUAAUUUUAUUUGCUGUGCCUGAUUGGAAGACAAAGGAGGAAAUUUCCAAGAGACGAUUCAGUACACAUGAAAAAGGAAUCAGCAGCCUUUCAUGUACAUUUAUGAAUAAUGCUCCAUCUCAAUUUAUUUUGAAAGGAAGGGGAAAGUGCUUUAACAUUUGCUGCCGUGGGAGAAAACUGAAUGGUCAUGAAAUAAUGGCAGUAAUACCUUGCGUGUAUGUGAGCUCUUUCAAAUGAUAAUAUUUCAAAUUAUUUCUAAGAGAAACAAAUAACUAUUGUCUUUCUCUUCCAAAAGAGGCUAGGCUGGAGGAAGAGGGGUGGAAUUUCAGGUGGUGGACCUUGGAGUUGCCCCCAAAGAGCUGUCUCUGGGUUGCGUCAGCAUCCUGGACGCUCAACAGUAAGGAAGAAGCCAACACGUCAGUAGAGAUGAAGAGGAGGUUGGGGGGUGGGCAAGAACAGAUUAGCUCAAAAUAGCCUGGAUAUCAAAAUCACUAGCUAUAAUCAAUUUAAAGAGGGUCGCAUAAGCCAAGGAAUGUGGCCAUCCAUGUAACCACAGAAUUACCAGUUUCCAAGCCAACUGAAAACAAGUGGUCUUGAAUGCUGUUGGGCCUUAUUCUAGCAGACUGGAGAGCUGCAGACCAGCAAGUCUCAGCAAAGAAGGCAAUCAGGUCUUUAAACACCUGUACUUACAAUGUGCUAGGAAAGACUGUGAGAGUUUCAGCCCAAGAAACAUUUGUUUGAGGUCACAUUCUGCCAGCAUUGAAACAUCUUGGGAACCACAAAGAUCUUCACAAAUUAAAAAUAUUUUCCUCAGCUGAAAAGCAAAUCACCUUUGUACCUCAUCUUGACAGCUAAACAGGCAUUAUUCUCAGAAUUGGAAACUAGCUCAGAUGCAUGCAAUCAAGAAUCAGCUGGACAUUUGCAGUGUGCACGGACCCCAGCCUUGGCCUCUUCAUUAGUUGAACCAAGUCAACUGAUAAAAUGUUCAAGCAACAUGUGGAUGGUUGCAGAGGGCUACUGUUGAGUCUUUGUCCCAAAGGUCAUAUCCUGCACUCAAGACUCUCAUACUAAUUUAAAAAUAAACCCCUUAGCUGUCUAUAUUUUGGAUAAUUUAGCAUCUCUUCAGCUCCUGGCAACGGGAAAGCUAUUUGCAGGUUGUUGCUGAGACCAAGAGCAAUACCAAGCUGGCGAGAGCAUUGGGUUCUGAGCCAUAUUUCAGCUGAGUAAAGAGACUGCAGGGAGAAAACCUGCUUAGGCAGAAUAUUAGGCAAAAACCUUUGUAACAGAGGAUGGUUCAACAAAAUUACCCCAUUUAUGGCUGCCAGAUUGCAGCAGAGCAAGCUGAGAGGAUCUUGUUGAGGGAAGUGGCAUGGAGUCAUCCUUCGUAUAUUACAUAUUUUAUCUAAUUUACUUCCAUUAAGUGAACGAAUUGUGUUCUUUAUGUGUACCUUUGAAUCAGAGACUGUGAUGACUGGAUUUGUGGACUGAUUUUGAAUUUAUUCUCAGAAGACACUUGGGUUUUAGCUCCUCCUUACAAAACAGUGCUUUCCCAUCUCCUGCAUGUAAUUUUGGAAGAUG